UACGUAGGGGGCAAGCGUUGUCCGGAUUUAUUGGGCGUAAAGAGCGUGUAGGCGGCCAAACAGGUCAGCUGUGAAAACUCGAGGCUCAACCUCGAGACGUCGGUUGAAACCGUUUGGCUAGAGUCCGGAAGAGGAGAGUGGAAUUCCCGGUGUAGCGGUGAAAUGCGCAGAUAUCGGGAAAGAACACCCGUGGCGAAGGCGGCUCUCUGGACCAGCACUGACACUGAGGCACGAAAGCGUGGGGGAGCAAACAGGG
rnacentral:rRNA from 1 species